GAAGCUUUAGCAUUUCAAUUGUAUUUGUGUUAGCUUCCUUCCUUGUUGGCUGUUACUGAUUAGGGUGGCUAUGAAGAUGAGCAUCUAGUCUUAAGACUUCGGUAUGAUGGCAGAGGCUACAGCUAUGAUCUUAUAACUAGGAAACAACAUUUCGUCAAUUGAAUUUAUCUUUGUAUUUGUUGUGCCAUUUUAAUGCUAAUUGGUAUUAGCUAUCAUGUUUUUUUGGCAACAUAAUAGCCAAAUGGGUUUGUGUCAUGAUCUUAUAUGGUAACUUUUGCUAACCCUGAAAAAGAAACCUCUUCCAGACUGUUACCUCGCUGUAGGUGCACAUAUUCAUUCCCUUGUUUUAUUUGGUUGUUUCUGCUGAUACUCUAGCAAAGGGUUCUGUUUUGUCAAUUGUUGCUAUCUUUCCCCCUUCUAGAAAAAAAUUUGCAAAUUGCAGCAUCAGUUAUUAACUGCACAUUUUACAGGUAGCGGACUGGAUGAAGACACAUCACGAAUCUGAUUUAUCUGAGAGUGACUAUGGAAUGCGCAUUGACUUGAUUACCAGAGUUUUUGGUGCCAAUGCGGCUGAAGAUUUCUUUGAGAAGCUUCCACCUGAAGCUAAAUCUCUACAAGCCUAUACAGCACUUCUGCAUUCCUAUGCCCGAUCAAAGAUGACAGACAAAGCUGAAAGGCUGUUUGGCAGAAUGAAGGAUGCAAACCUGUCUAUGGAUGUCCUGGUUUACAAUGAAAUGAUGACCUUGUACAUUUCUGUCGGGGAGCUGGAUAAAGUUCAGGUCAUUGCUGAAGAACUAAAAAGGCAAAAUGUUUCUCCAGAUCUCUUCACCUACAAUCUCCGGGUCAGUGCAGCUGCUGCUUCCAUGGAUCUCGAGUGCUUCAAAGGAAUUCUCGACGAGAUGUCAAAGGAUCCAAAGUCCAAAGAAGGAUGGACACUGUACCGGAAACUUGCCUCUAUUUACGUUGACGCCAGUCAGCUUGUUGGCUCUGGAAAUUCACUGGUGGAAGCCGAGGCAAAGAUCAGCCAGAGGGAGUGGAUAACCUACGAUUUCCUCGUCCUUCUACAUGCCGGCCUGGGCAACCUAGAGAGGAUAAAGGACAUAUGGAAAUCGAUGCUUAUGACUUCUCAGCGGAUGACGAGCCGGAACUACAUCUGCGUGAUCUCCUCCUACCUGAUGUGCGAGCGGCUGAAGGACGCUGGGGAGAUCGUCGACCAGUGGCAGCGGUCCAAAGCUCCGGAGUUCGACAUCUCCGCCUGCAACAGGCUGUUCGACGCUCUUCUGAAUGCCGGCCUCACCGACACUGCAGAGAGUUUUAGAGAACUGAUGCUGCAAAAGAGUUGUAUACUGACAAGCAGGGCAACUGUUGCCGCGUGAUUACGAGUUUCUUUCUGACUUGAUCAUAUAUCGCCAGAGAGUUUUUGUUGUGUGAAGGAAUAAAUGAUGGACCCGCCAAGCAAUUUGCACGCUAUUUUUUUUGGCAAGGUACGUAUCUGAUUAUAUAUUUGCCAGGACCGUGGCACGAUGACA
rnacentral:lncRNA from 1 species